GCCUUGGUGGCUUAGUCGGUUAAGCGUCUGACUCUUCAUUUCAGCUCAGGUCAUGAUCUCACGGUUUGUGGGUUUGAGUCCCACAUCGGGCU
rnacentral:tRNA from 1 species